CAGGAUGACUUUACCAUGUAAGGUUGCUGUUGCAAUUGUUCUUUACUUUAAACGUUGUUAAGUAGUACUUAAAAAAACGAUUCUUAACACGUUUUUUGUCCUUGUUGAAAAGUGAGACGAGCAUUUGAACCGACGAGGGGACUGAAUGAGCUGUGCGAUAAGGACGUGAUAAUCCUGAGACUGAAGCUGCUGUGGAACAGCUGCUUGUGGAAGAAGUAGUCCUGCUGAAGAUGAUGAUGGUGGUGACUGGGUUUCUUUAACAGUUUUGCAACAAUUUUCUUUCAAAUACCAUCAAGAGUGUAAAAGUGCUGCCCGCAUGCUGACAGGACGAACCCGGGCGAG